rnacentral:rRNA from 1 species
CCUACGGGUGGCAGCAGUGGGGAAUAUUGCACAAUGGGCGAAAGCCUGAUGCAGCAACGCCGCGUGAGCGAUGAAGGCCUUCGGGUCGUAAAGUUCUGUCCUCAAGGAAGAUCAUGACGGUAUUUCAGGAGGAAGCCCCGCCUAACUACGUGCCCGCAGCCGCGGUAAUACGUAGGGGGAUAGCGUUAUCCGGAGUUUCUGGGCGUAUAGGGUGCGUAGGUGGUUUCUUAAGUCAGAGGUGAAAGGCCACGGCUAAACCGUAGUAAGCCUUUGAAACUGGUGAACUUGAGUGCAGGAGAGGAGAGUGGAAUUCCUAGUGUAGCGGUGAAAUGCGUAGAUAUUAGGAGGAACACCAGUGGCGAAGGCGGCUCUCUGGACUGUAACUGACACUGAGGCGCGAAAGCGUGGGGAGCAAACAGGAUUAGAUACCCUAGUAGUC